rnacentral:rRNA from 1 species
GAUGAACGCUGGCGGCGUGCUUAACACAUGCAAGUCGAACGGAAAGGCCGAAGCUUGCUUCGGUACUCGAGUGGCGAACGGGUGAGUAACACGUGGGUGAUCUGCCCUGUACUUCGGGAUAAGCUUGGGAAACUGGGUCUAAUACCGGAUAUGACGAUCUCUUGGAUGGGGUUGUGGAAAGCUUUUGCGGUAUGGGAUGAGCUCGCGGCCUAUCAGCUUGUUGGUGGGGUAAUGGCCUACCAAGGCGUCGACGGGUAGCCGGCCUGAGAGGGUGUACGGCCACAUUGGGACGGAGAUACGGCCCAGACUCCUACGGGAGGAAGCAGUGGGGAAUAUUGCACAAUGGGCGCAAGCCUGAUGCAGCGACGCCGCGUGGGGGAUGACGGCCUUCGGGUUGUAAACUCCUUUCGCAAUCGACGAAGCCUUUUGGUGACGGUAGGUUGAGAAGAAGCACCGGCUAACUACGUG